CAGUAGCCGCGGGAAUACAGAGGGUGCAAGCGUUAAUCGGAAUUACUGGGCGUAAAGCGCGCGUAGGUGGUUUGUUAAGUUGGAUGUGAAAUCCCCGGGCUCAACCUGGGAACUGCAUCCAAAACUGGCAAGCUAGAGUAUGGUAGAGGGUGGUGGAAUUUCCUGUGUAGCGGUGAAAUGCGUAGAUAUAGGAAGGAACACCAGUGGCGAAGGCGACCACCUGGACUGAUACUGAAACUGAGGUGCGAAAGCGUGGGGAGCAAACAGGAUUAGAUACCCCCGUAGUCCCUGUCUCUUAUAC
rnacentral:rRNA from 1 species